UACGUAGGGGGCGAGCGUUGUCCGGAUUUAUUGGGCGUAAAGAGCUCGUAGGCGGUUCGGUAAGUCGGAUGUGAAAUCUCCACGCUCAACGUGGAGGGGCCAUUCGAUACUGCCGUGACUCGAGUCCGGUAGGGGAGUGUGGAAUUCCCGGUGUAGCGGUGAAAUGCGCAGAGAUCGGGAGGAACACCCGUAGCGAAGGCGGCACUCUGGGCCGAUACUGACGCUGAGGAGCGAAAGCGUGGGGAGCGAACAGG
rnacentral:rRNA from 1 species